rnacentral:rRNA from 1 species
GACAGAGGUGCCGAGCGUUAGGCGGAAUCACUGGGCUUAAAGCGUGUGUAGGCGGGCCGUUAAGUGCCCCGUGAAAUCCCCCGGCUCAACCGGGGAACGGCGGGGCAUACUGGCGGCCUUGAGCCACUUAAGGGCAGACGGAACAAGCGGUGGAGCGGUGAAAUGCGUAGAUAUCAUGAGGAAUACCAGAGGCGAAGGCGGCUACCUGGACAAUUGCUGACGCUCAGGCACGAAAGCGUGGGGAGCAAAAGGG